CUACGUGCCAGCAGCCGCGGUAAUACGGAAGGUUCGGGCGUUAUCCGGAUUUAUUGGGUUUAAAGGGAGCGUAGGCCGGAGAUUAAGUGUGUUGUGAAAUGUAGACGCUCAACGUCUGACUUGCAGCGCAUACUGGUUUCCUUGAGUACGCACAACGUUGGCGGAAUUCGUCGUGUAGCGGUGAAAUGCUUAGAUAUCAUGAAGAACUCCGAUUGCGAAGGCAGCAUACGGGAGUGUAACUGACGCUUAAGCUCGAAGGUGCGGGUAUCGAACAGGAUUAGAUACCCUGGUAGUCCGCACAGUAAACGAUGGAUGCCCGCUGUUAGCGCCUGGCGUUAGCGGCUAAGCGAAAGCAUUAAGCAUCCCACCUGGGGAGUACGCCGGCAACGGUGAAACUCAAAGGAAUUGACGGGGGCCCGCACAAGCGGAGGAACAUGUGGUUUAAUUCGAUGAUACGCGAGGAACCUUACCCGGGCUUGAAUUGCAGAGGAAUUAUUUAGAGAUA
rnacentral:rRNA from 1 species